rnacentral:lncRNA from 1 species
CAUUAUGCUAUCCAAUGGUUGAUAUCGCUUAAAAAGAUACAUCAUUCUUUCACAUGAAAGAUAUAAUUCAAAUCCAUUUUCAAUCAAGUUUCAUCAGCAAUGAUCAAAUCUUCAGAAUCGUUAUAACAGUAAAAAUAAGCUUCUCUUGCUUCAUUUCGCCAUCCAGUCAACAGUAGAUGGGGGUUGUAGCGUCCCCAUCCACAUGUGACCCAUCACCUUUACCUCCUUUAAUUCAUCAUUAAGCAAAAAGUCUCUCACACCGUCACUCUCAUAUUUCUAAUCAACAUAGAUAUUUUUGCAAUCCAGUUAGGUAGUGAUCCUUGUAUGUUUUCCUUUAGCUGGGAAGGCCACGUCUUGCUGUUGUUGCAUCCUUCUCUUCAGUGCGAGCUUUCUUUCUGGCUUCUAGUACUUGUUAUGUUUCAGGCCAAAGAGUUGGUGUGGAUGGGUUGCUUGGCUUUCGUGAAACCUCUGCAACUAUUCUAACUCUUCAAGAUAGGGCAGGAGGAUGCUUUAAUUUGUGUCC